rnacentral:tRNA from 1 species
GUCGGCGUAACUCAGCCUGGCUAGAGUGCGAGACUCAUGAUCUCGAAGUCCCGAGUUCAAAUCUCGGCGUCGACA